rnacentral:rRNA from 1 species
GUGGGGAAUCUUAGACAAUGGGGGAAACCCUGAUCUAGCCAUGCCGCGUGAGCGAUGAAGGCCUUAGGGUUGUAAAGCUCUUUCAGCUGGGAAGAUAAUGACGGUACCAGCAGAAGAAGCCCCGGCUAACUCCGUGCCAGCAGCCGCGGUAAUACGGAGGGGGCUAGCGUUGUUCGGAAUUACUGGGCGUAAAGCGCACGUAGGCGGAUCAGAAAGUCAGAGGUGAAAUCCCAGGGCUCAACCUUGGAACUGCCUUUGAAACUCCUGGUCUUGAGGUCGAGAGAGGUGAGUGGAAUUCCGAGUGUAGAGGUGAAAUUCGUAGAUAUUCGGAGGAACACCAGUGGCGAAGGCGGCUCACUGGUCCAUUACUGACGCUGAGGUGCGAAAGCGUGGGGAGCAAACAGGAUUAGAAACCCCUGUAGUCC